AGGUUACUGCUAUCGGUGUUCGUCUAAGCCAUGCGAGUCAUAUGUUCGUAAGAACAUGGCGUACUGCUCAGUAACACGUGGAUAACCUGCCCUUGGGUCCGGCAUAACCCCGGGAAACUGGGGAUAAUUCCGGAUAACGCACAUAUGCUGGAAUGCUUUAUGCGUAAAAUGGAUUCGUCUGCCCAAGGAUGGGUCUGCGGCCUAUCAGGUAGUAGUGGGUGUAAUGUACCUACUAGCCUACGACGGGUACGGGUUGUGAGAGCAAGAGCCCGGAGAUGGAUUCUGAGACAUGAAUCCAGGCCCUACGGGGCGCAGCAGGCGCGAAAACUUUACAAUGCGGGAAACCGUGAUAAGGGGACACCGAGUGCCAGCAUCCUAUGCUGGCUGUCCGGGUGUGUAAAAUACACCUGUUAGCAAGGGCCGGGCAAGACCGGUGCCAGCCGCCGCGGUAACACCGGCGGCCCGAGUGGUGAUCGUGAUUAUUGGGUCUAAAGGGUCCGUAGCCGGUUUGGUCAGUCCUCCGGGAAAUCUGACAGCUUAACUGUUAGGCUUUCGGAGGAUACUGCCAGACUUGGAACCGGGAGAGGUAAGAGGUACUACAGGGGUAGGAGUGAAAUCUUGUAAUCCCUGUGGGACCACCUGUGGCGAAGGCGUCUUACCAGAACGGGUUCGACGGUGAGGGACGAAAGCUGGGGGCACGAACCGGAUUAGAUACCCGGGUAGUCCCAGCCGUAAACGAUGCUCGCUAGGUGUCAGGCAUGGCGCGACCGUGUCUGGUGCCGCAGGGAAGCCGUGAAGCGAGCCACCUGGGAAGUACGGCCGCAAGGCUGAAACUUAA
rnacentral:rRNA from 1 species